UGUGCGUGGGCGACGGCGUCGUGCUGUGGGUGGUGUCUCCGCGAAGAGGAAGGCUUCGGCGUGGUGCUGUGGGUGGCGUGGUGCUAUGAGCGGCGUCGUGCUUUGGGGAUUUGGAGAAGAGAGAGCGAGAGCGACUGAGCAAGUGAGCAAUAGAGAGUAGAGAGCACAGCCGCAUGUUAGGGAUUGGGGAUUUGGGGGAUUAGGCCUUAGGGUUAGGGACGGCUAGGGGGGGAGGGGGCGCUCUCACACUCGCGCAGCAGGGCCAGGCACUUUGUUCGAGGCUGACUGGGAGACUCGGUUAGGGUUCUGCCGUGCUGGGAGUGAGUUGAACUGAUGAUAGUGGCGCUGAGUGGGAGAGCCCAGAAACAUUGCUGGCGCUGGGUGGUGGCGUGUCAACGGCGACAGCGUGGUGCUGUGCGUGGGCAACAGCGUGGUGCUAUGCGUGGGCGACGGCGUCGUGCUGUAGGUGGCGUCUCCGCGAAGAGGAAGGCUUCGGCGUGGUGCUGUGGUGGCGUCGUGCUUUGGGGAUUUGGAGAAGAGAGAGCGAGAGCAACUGAGUAGUGAGUAGUAGAGACUAGAGAGUAGAGAGCGUAGCCGCAGGUUAGAGAUUGGGGAUUUGGGGGGUUAGGGUUAGGGACGGCUGGAGGGGGAGGCGCUCUCACACUCGCGCAGCAGGCAUCAACUUUGUUCGUUUGGGGGGUGGCGGUCUAGGGAGGUGGGGUUAGGCAUUUUUAGGGUU
rnacentral:lncRNA from 1 species